AAAAAGCUAUGGCUUAACCAUAGUAAGCACUUGAAACUGUAUGACUUGAGUGCAGGAGAGGUAAGCGGAAUUCCUAGUGUAGCGGUGAAAUGCGUAGAUAUUAGGAGGAACACCGGUGGCGAAGGCGGCUUACUGGACUGUAACUGACGCUGAGUCACGAAAGCGUGGGUAGCAAACAGGAUUAGAUACCCUGGUAGUCCACGCCGUAAACGAUGAGUGCUAGGUGUUGGGCAGCAAUGCUCAGUGCCGAAGUAAACACAAUAAGCACUCCGCCUGGGGAGUACGUACGCAAGUAUGAAACUCAAAGGAAUUGACGGGGACCCGCACAAGCAGCGGAGCAUGUGGUUUAAUUCGAAGCAACGCGAAGAACCUUACCAAGGCUUGACAUCCCCUUGACAGAUGCAGAGAUGUGUCCUCCUCUUCGGAGGCAAGGGAGACAGGUGGUGCAUGGUUGUCGUCAGCUCGUGUCGUGAGAUGUUGGGUUAAGUCCCGCAACGAGCGCAACCCUUAUCCUUAGUUGCCAGCAUGUAAAGAUGGGCACUCUAAGGAGACUGCCGGUGAUAAACCGGAGGAAGGUGGGGAUGACGUCAAAUCAUCAUGCCCCUUAUGUCUUGGGCUACACACGUGCUACAAUGGUCGGUACAACGGGCAGCGAAGGAGCGAUCCGGAGCGAAUCCCAAUAAACCGAUCCCAGUUCGGAUUGCAGGCUGCAACUCGCCUGCAUGAAGUCGGAGUUGCUAGUAAUCGCGAAUCAGAACGUCGCGGUGAAUGCGUUCCCGGGUCUUGUACACACCGCCCGUCACACCAUGGAAGUUGGUAAUACCCGAAGUCGCUGAGCUAACCUUAAAGGAGGCAGGCGCCGAAGGUAGGAUCAAUGACUGGGGUGAAGUCGUAACAAGGUAACCGUA
rnacentral:rRNA from 1 species